rnacentral:tRNA from 1 species
GCCUCGGUAGCUCAGUUGGUAGAGCGAGGGACUGAAAAUCCCUGCGUCGCAGGUUCGAUUCCUGCCUGAGGCACCA